CAAAGGUGAGCCAGUACAGGAUGGACCCGCGUCUGAUUAGCUAGUUGGUAAGGUAACGGCUUACCAAGGCGACGAUCAGUAGCCGACCUGAGAGGGUGAUCGGCCACAUUGGAACUGAGACACGGUCCAAACUCCUACGGGAGGCAGCAGUGGGGAAUAUUGCACAAUGGGCGAAAGCCUGAUGCAGCAACGCCGCGUGAGUGAUGAAGGCCUUCGGGUCGUAAAACUCUGUCCUCAAGGAAGAUAAUGACGGUACUUGAGGAGGAAGCCCCGGCUAACUACGUGCCAGCAGCCGCGGUAAUACGUAGGGGGCUAGCGUUAUCCGGAUUUACUGGGCGUAAAGGGUGCGUAGGCGGUCUUUCAAGUCAGGAGUGAAAGGCUACGGCUCAACCGUAGUAAGCUCUUGAAACUGGGAGACUUGAGUGCAGGAGAGGAGAGUGGAAUUCCUAGUGUAGCGGUGAAAUGCGUAGAUAUUAGGAGGAACACCAGUUGCGAAGGCGGCUCUCUGGACUGUAACUGACGCUGAGGCACGAAAGCGUGGGGAGCAAACAGGAUUAGAUACCCUGGUAGUCCACGCCGUAAACGAUGAGUACUAGGUGUCGGGGGUUACCCCCUUCG
rnacentral:rRNA from 1 species